UACGAACUGUGCGAACGUUAUUCGGAAUCACUGGGCUUACAGGGUGCGUAAGCGGCUUUUCAAGUCAGGUGUGAAAGCCCCCGGCUCAACCGGGGAACUGCGCUUGAAACUGAAAGGCUCGAGUCAGCUAGAGGUACACGGAACUUCCAGUGGAGCGGUGAAAUGUGUUGAUAUUGGAAGGAACACCGGAGGCGAAAGCGGUGUACUGGGGCUGGUCUGACGCUGAGGCACGAAAGCCAGGGGAGCGAACGGG
rnacentral:rRNA from 1 species